rnacentral:rRNA from 1 species
CCUACGGGAGGCAGCAGUGAGGAAUAUUGGUCAAUGGCCGUAAGGCUGAACCAGCCAAGUAGCGUGAGGGAAGACUGCCCUAUGGGUUGUAAACCUCUUUUAUGGGGGGAUAAAGGUGUCCACGUGUGGAUCUUUGCAGGUACCGCAUGAAUAAGGACCGGCUAAAUCCGUGCCAGCAGCCCCGGUAAUACGGAAGGUCCGGGCGUUAUCCGGAUUUAUUGGGUUGAAAGGGAGCGUAGGCAGGUGGUUAAGCAUGCCGGGAAAUUUUGGGGCUCAACCCUGAGAGUGCGGCGCAAACUGGAGACCUUGAGUGCGCGAAAGGCAGGCGGAAUUCGUGGUGUAGCGGUGAAAUGCUUAGAUAUCACGAAGAACCCCGAUUGCGAAGGCAGCCUGCCGCAGCGUUACUGACGCUGAGGCUCGAAAGCGCGGGUAUCGAACAGGAUUAGAUACCCUUGUAGUC